CUUCAUUCUUCCUCCCACCCUCCCUGGAGUCUGCCAGGGUCUGUCUACCUUUCUGGCUGCUUUGCUUGGCAGGCUCUUUGGGAGCAGUGAGUAUGACUCCCCAGGGGAACCCAUAGGGUUGCCUGCAGUUUGGGGAGUGUGUCCCAGGCUACUGAGCUGACCAAAAGAACUUGCCAAAUAUUGCAAGAUGCUGCUCACCCUGAAGCAGGUGCCAGGCUGUACCCUCUGCAUCACGCACGUCCACUUUGUCCUUCAGAACAUCCCCUCCUACUGUCUGUCCAGCGAUGCGCUUGCCUUUGGCACAUGAAGGGAUGGAGGCUUGAGUUGGUUCUGAGACUCACACAGACUCCUGGAGUUGGGCCAAUGAUCAUUGUAUGGAAGAUAAAUGAGGCCUGUUUCAGCUGAAGAGAAACACCUGCUAGAAAGUCCCUGCCAGCUGAAGGGCUUGUUCCACCCCUUCUCUGCUUCCUCUCUGAUUACAUGAUAGCAUCUCAAAGCUCUCUCCAUCCUUCUGUCUUGUUUUCCAUUAAAAAAAAAUCAUGCAUUGUCAUAACUGUUAUUUGUAAGCUUCCAUGCUAUUUAAACCGUGAUUAAUUAUAAUACCUCACCAAAGCAAUAACAACCUCCUAAAACGCACACCAGGCCACAUUGCUCCAUUGUCUGGAGAGCUUCCUCCCCCAGUGUGCCAGGCCCUGUGUGGUACAGGUGCAGUCUGCCUUCUCACCUCUCACCCUGUCCUUACCUUCUGCUCCUGUCCUCGUGGUGCCUCCUGCUUGC
rnacentral:lncRNA from 1 species